rnacentral:rRNA from 1 species
CAGUAGCCGCGGUAAUACGAAGGGGGCUAGCGUUGCUCGGAAUGACUGGGCGUAAAGGGCGCGUAGGCGGCGGCCAAAGUCUGGCGUGAAAUUCCCGGGCUCAACCUGGGGGCUGCGUUUGAUACUCGGUUGCUUGAGUGGGGAAGAGGGUCGUGGAAUUCUCAGUGUAGAGGUGAAAUUCGUAGAUAUUGGGAAGAACACCGAUGGCGAAGGCGGCGACCUGGUCCUUUACUGACGCUGAGGCGCGAAAGCGUGGGGAGCAAAUGGGAUUAGAGACCCCAGUAGUCCCUGUCUCUUAUAC